GGGAGGCAGAGGCGACGGCGCUCGGGACCUUCGAGCCUUCUCCGAACCUUCGAGACCCCCCCCCCCCCGGCGGGUACAUCGGCAGCCACGCCGUGCUGCAGCUGCUCCUCGCCGGCUUCCGCGCCAUCGUCGUCAACUUCCGCGCCGUCGUCGUCGUCGACAACCUCAACAACUCCUCCGAGCUCGCCGUGCACCGCGUCGCCGCCAUCGCCGGCGACCACUCCCGGAACCUCGCCUUCCACAAGGUCGGUCACCUGCAAAUGCUGCCCAUCCGCCUCCUCCUCCAUGGACCUUUGUUCAUUCUACUUGGUUAUACGGGAAAAUGCCAGCGUGAUUAUUAGCAUUUAUUGA
rnacentral:lncRNA from 1 species